rnacentral:sRNA from 1 species
AGAGGAGGAAACAAAAUGAACGAAGUUCAUUUUUUAUAAAUGUUUCCGACGAACUGCCGCCGACCAAGGGGAGGGGGCGCAACAAU